AUUGAACGCUGGCGGCAGGCCUAACACAUGCAAGUCGAGCGGAGCGGCGGACGGGUGAGUAAUGCCUAGGAAUCUGCCUGGUAGUGGGGGAUAACGUCCGGAAACGGGCGCUAAUACCGCAUACUAUCAGAUGAGCCUAGGUCGGAUUAGCUAGUUGGUGGGGUAAAGGCCUACCAAGGCGACGAUCCGUAACUGGUCUGAGAGGAUGAUCAGUCGCACUGGAAGUGAUAUACGGCCCAGACUCCUACUGGAGGCAGCAGGGGGGGAUAUUGAACAAGUUGCGAAAGCCUGAUGCAGCGACGCCGCUUGGUGGAUUCAGUCUUUCGGGUUGUAAACCUCUUUCGCUAUCGAACGGGUAGGUGGAGAAUAAGCGCCGGCUAACUACGUGCCAGCAGCCGCGGUAAUUC
rnacentral:rRNA from 1 species